AGUUGAAUUGCUGGGCCAUAUGCUAAAAAUUCUGUUUAGCUUUUGGAGGAACUGCCCAAACUGUUUUCCACAGCAACUGCAUCAUUUUGCAUAUCCAGCAGCAGU
rnacentral:pre_miRNA from 1 species